rnacentral:piRNA from 1 species
GAGCUAGGAGUGGCAAGGGAGCAGU